rnacentral:rRNA from 1 species
AUGGAUGCAGCUGCCUAUGCUUACACUGAACAUGACUUCAAUUUGGCCAUGGAAAGCAUGAAGGCUGAGUGCACUGCUGCUUGGGAGUGGAUGUCAAGAAUUCCUGCUAAAGCUUGGUCUAGUCAUGCAAUGGACACUAAUUGCAAAACUGAUUUAGUGGUGAAUAACUUAAGUGAAGUUUUUAAUAAGUACAUUCUAGAUGUAAGGAACAAGCCAAUUGUCACAAUGAUCAAUGGGAUCAAGGACAAGUUGCUAGUGAGGUUCCACCAGAAGAGAGAGGGUGGAAAAUGUGCUAGAUGGGAGAUUGCACCAACCUAUGCAGAGAAGUUGGAGAUGAACAAGAAGUAUGCAAGGGAUUGCAAAGCACUCACAGCUGGCCAAGGACUUUUCCAAGUCACUAGUGGAGACAAGACCUAUGGUGUUGACACAAACAUACAUACAUGUGGGUGCAAGAAAUGGGACAUCACUGGAGUUCCUUGCAAACAUGCUUGUUCUGCCAUCUAUAGGUCUAAACAGCUGCCAGAGGAUCAUAUCAAUGUGUUUUUCAAGAAAUCUAUGUACUUGGAGGCAUAUAAGCCAGUGAUUUACCCUGUUCCUGGUCCAGAUAGCUGGGUGAAAACUCCAACACCUGACAUUGAACCACCACAGUUCAAAGAUGACAAGAAGGGGCCAGCAGAAGAGAAAAGGAAAAAAAGGAAAGUUUGA